rnacentral:snRNA from 1 species
CCCGUCCAUAUGCAUUUGGA